UCCACUUUAGGUGACUAUUGAGCAGUGCCCCUCAGUGGAGGGUAGGGGCUUUGGAGUUGGUUUAUUGAUGGUGGAUAUACCAUAAGUCCAAACUGAGCCUCUGCUGAUGAUUGUUGUUCUAACACACAUUGUUUAGUGAAAGUAUGGGCUGAUGUCCAGAUACUUGCUUUGCAAAAGUCAAUGAUAGGUACAUUAUUUAGAAAGGCCACAGAUGCUACUAACGCUCUGGUGAAGCGUGCACAGACUCCCAGUGGGAGUUGCAGAUUAUUGUUUCGGUAGCACAAAUGGAUACAUCCAGAUACCCAUUUGGAUAGUCUGUUUUAAGAUGGUUUGGCCCCUCAAGCAUUCGGUUAUGGAAACGAAUAGUCUAGGUGAUUUUCUGGAUGUUUUUGCUCUUUUUAUGUAGAAAGCUAAUGCUCUGCAAACAUCUAGCAUGUGGAAUGGCCUCCCUCCCAUCAGCAUGUGGCUUAGGAAAAAUACAGAACAGUCUUUCUCGACCCCCCAUCAGCCAUGGAGUAAGUAACCAGGCCUUGAGGUGGAGUACUGCGAAGUUGGGGUGACAGACGCAUCCCGCAUCUUGUGAUAGAAGGUAUGUAUAUGCCCAGGGUUUUUAAGUUCACCCUUGAGUCCUUAAGGUGCGUAGAGAGACAUCGGUUUUGUCUGCGAAUAAUUUUUACCCUUCAAAAGGAUAAGUCUUCAACAGUGGCUUGGAUCUCCCUUGGGAAGGUGGGAACCCGGAAAGGUGGAGCCAGAAUGCACGGCACAUGACCAUGGAUGUUGCAAUGGACCAUGCUGCCCUGUCUGCAGAGUCAAGAGAGGCCCGUAGGGCCGUCCUGGUGAAGAGACGCCCUUCAGAAACAUUUGCCUUAUAUUGCUCUUUUAUGUCAUCAGGUAAACUUUCAACAAAUUCUGACAUUUUCACAAACAGAUUGUGUGCUUAUUUUGCCAGUAGGGCCGCAUAAUUGGAUAUGCAGAACUGGAGUGUCGCGGAGGAGUAGGUUUUCCAUCCGAAGAAAUCUAGCCUUUUCCAGUCCUUAUCAUAUGGGGUCAUUCUGGACUGGUGUUGUUUUCCCCUUUGGUUGAUCGCAUCCACCACGAGAGAGUUUGGUGUGGGGUGGAUGAAUAAAAAUUCAGCUCCUUUUGCUGGCACGUAAUACUUUUUGUAAGAUCUCUUACACAAGAGAGGCUGUAGUGGGUGUCUGCCAGAUUAUUUUUGCAGGCUCCAUGAUAGCAUCAUUAAUUGGCAGAGGUAUCUUUGCCACUGAGGAUACCUGGAGUAUGUCCAUGAGCUUGUGUUGGGUCUCUGGUAGUUGUGCUAGUGAAAUGUCCAGGGAGAUUCAGCUACCCUUCUGAAGAGGUCUUGAAAAGAUUUGAAAUCAUCCCCCAUAGUGGGGGAAGCGGGGGGGCAUUAUCGUUUCAUCCAGUGACAAAGAUGAGAUGUGAGUGGGCUGCAGAGUGUCACCUUCAGCUGUGUCCUCAGGCUCCAAGGUCUCUUCCUCUUGUGUCUCUGAGGGCGCUGGGACAGUUGGAGAAGGGGACAGUGUUGUUCUGAACCUAAGCAGGUUCGGAGGCCUGAGAUUUUGGACCCUCUACAUUGCCCAUGGAUCCCAGUAUGGCCAGCUGGAUGGGAAUGGUAUAGGGCAGUGGUCUCCAAACUUUUUUGAUCAUGCACCCGUCAGUAAAAUAUUUUUGAGCACGCACCCCCUGCCGCGCCACAGGGCCGGCUCUAUCAUUUUUGCCACCCCAAGCAGACUCCUGCCCGAACUGCCAAAGCGACACUGCUCCGGCGGCACUCCUCUUUGGAGACCACUGGUAUAGGGGGCAGUGCCCAUGGUUGAUCAUACCAGCCCCACAUGUCUGUAGAUGUUUGGUGAUGAGAAAGUCCAGGUUUAGACAAGGAAUGUAUAUUACUGCCUCAUCCUCUUCUUCCUCAUCACUGGAGAUAGGAGGUGCUGAUCCACAGGGAAUGGUUACCAGGCUUGGUCCCAGUCUAGACGGGGUACUGUCAGUACCGAGUAGAGGAGAUUCAGGCAUUGAAGCCGCUAUCAGGUCCACGUGCCUCAUGAAAUACUGCGGGACCGUGAAGCUUGGUGCCGGGAAGGCAUCGUGCACUGACCACAAAUUAAGAGUUGAAGCUCAGUGCCGACGACUUAGAGCUGUGGUACAUAGGUACAGCAGGUGGCGCCAUUGUACUGCUCGGUGCCGAGGUUUUCUUCAGAUCAGACUUUUCUACGUGCACCUGCAUCAGAGCUUGCCCACAUACGGCCUUUAGCUUCUCGGGAAGUUUCGGCACCGGACGUUCCCAGUGCCUCGCGGUCCAGCACUCUCGGUGCCAUCGGUACCGGGGCAGAUUUUUCAUUUGGAGAUCACUUUCUUUUAGGUGAUUCUCAGUGUGGGGAUGUUUGGGGCCACUUUUUGGUAGCCUUUCUAGAAGCAGGCUCCUUAGCAGUCGUUGUUGAAUCAGAUCCCCUGUCAAACGCUGCCGCUGGCAACUGUUGGCCAGGAGGCGUCCUGGACUCAAGGUCAGAGGCUGGUCUGAGGGAUUUCUCCAUCAUAAGGAGCUUCAAUUGGAGAUCCCUGGCCUUCCUUGUCCUUCCUGUCAGUUUUCAACAGUGUGGACAUUUUUGGGUAAUGUGCGUCUUGCCAAGGCAGUUGACAUACUGUGCGUGGCCAUCAGACCCUGGUAUGGAGAGUCUGCAAGUUGGGCAGUGUUUAAGGCCUGGUGAGCUAGGCUUGCCUGAAAGAGAAAGUCCUUUGGAGAAA